AUUGAACGCUGGCGGCAGGCCUAACACAUGCAAGUCGAACGAGUGGCGGACGGGUUAGUAAUGUCUGGGAAACUGCCUGAUGGCGGGGGAUCACUACUGGAAACGGUCGCUAAUACCGCAUACUAUCCGAUUUGCCCAGAUGGGCUUAGCUUGUUGGUGGGGUAAUGGCUCACCAGGGCGACGAUCCCUAGCGGGUCUGAGAGGAUGACCAGCCACACGGGAACUGGGACACGGGCCGGACUCCUAGGGAAGGGAGCAGUGGGGAAUAUUGCACAAUGGGCGCAAGCCUGAGGAGGCCAUGCGGGGUGUGUGAAGAAGGCCUUCGGGUUGUAAAGUACGUUCAGCGGGGAGGCGGUACCCGCAGAAGAAGCACCGGCUAACUCCGUGCCAGCAGCCGCGGUAAUUC
rnacentral:rRNA from 1 species